GACGAACGCUGGCGGCGUGCUUAACACAUGCAAGUCGAACGAUGAUGCUGGAGCUUGCUCCAGUUGAUUAGUGGCGAACGGGUGAGUAACACGUGAGCAAUCUGCCCUUGACUCUGGGAUAACUGCGGGAAACUGUAGCUAAUACCGGAUACUUUCACCGGAAGGCAUCUUCUGGUGAUGAAAUACUUUCGGUCAGGGAUGAGCUCGCGGCCUAUCAGCUUGUUGGUGAGGUAACGGCUCACCAAGGCGACGACGGGUAACCGGCCUGAGAGGGUGACCGGUCACACUGGGACUGAGACACGGCCCAGACUCCUACGGGAGGCAGCAGUGGGGAAUAUUGCACAAUGGGCGCAAGCCUGAUGCAGCAACGCCGCGUGAGGGAUGAAGGCCUUCGGGUUGUAAACCUCUUUUAGCAGGGAAGAAGCGAAAGUGACGGUACCUGCAGAAAAAGCACCGGCUAACUACGUGCCAGCCGCCGCAGUAA
rnacentral:rRNA from 1 species